GCAGUCGUGGUCGAGUGGUUAAGGCGAUGGACUAGAAAUCUAUUAGGGUCUCCCAGCACAGGUUCAAAUCCUGGCGACUGCG
rnacentral:tRNA from 2 species